AACUCAUGAUGAGGGCACCUUCUCAACAUAUCCUUAAAUCUCUUCAAUGCAUCAUACAAUGUCCCCAACUCAGUUUGAGCAAAGGAAGAGAUGUCGUUCCUCAACUU
rfam:Gossypium raimondii chromosome 5, whole genome shotgun sequence.